CAUAUGUUAGAGAGGGCGUCUGCAGGAGGCAGCGGCGGCGGCGCAGGGCGAGCGGCGCGGAGGGAGACUGUUACUGCAGAGCAGAGCUGUCUUCUGGGCAUGACGAGGAGGAAUCCGAGCAGCAGGAGGCUGCGCACUGCCGAGGGCUCAUUUUAGAUGAUAGCGCCAUGAUGAUGAUGAUGAUGAUGAUGGUGAUGGUGAUGAUGAUGUCUCGUCCCCGGUGAAGCGCGCGCAGCCCUCCCAUUUUCUCUCGUGGAAGUGAAAGACUGAAAGGCUCGAAAGUUGACAGCUCUUCCAGGCAAUUCUUUGCGGGACCUCAAUCCACUUCCACCGCAGCGCGGGCCCGCCCCGCACAGAUAAGUCUCGUCGUUUGUUUUUCGGCUGCAAACACUCCUGAAAUUUUAUUUGCUUAAUAGAAAAAAAAGUUGCGGUUAAGUUUUGGCUUCAAGAUGACAGAGAUCUAACAAGAAAGAGGUUGGAAGUUUUUCUUUUCUUUUCUUUAAAAAUCUUGUCGAGUUGGCUGUUGCGGUUUAUGUUUAUUUGCGUGUUCAUUUGCACACUUUAAACUGAAGAAAUGCGCAUGUGUUGUGGAGAAAAGCCGCCGCAAACUCUCACGCAUAUGUGCUGCUUCCCAUGCAACAGUCCAGCUGACCGCUCCCCCUGAUCUCCCACCACCUCCCCCCGAGGAGAACCCCUUCAAGAGGACAGCAUAUUCUCUCUUCUGUUUUUAUUCCUACGGAGGAAAAAUCAGAAACGGGCCACUUGAGGGGAUGAGAUUCUCCAAAGAAGCGGUGGGGAAACUGCACAUCUUAUGGACUACAGAGCUUGACUCUGUUGCCACUAAAUCCCGGAUGGCACAGACAGAAAAAUGACAAAACAACAACAACAAAAACACCCAACUCUCACCCCCCAUCUUAACCCAACAUGUAAACAACAAAAUGUUGUUGUGCGGAAGAUGCAUUGAUAGUGUGUCAGUAGGGAUAAUCUGUGCCUGAUUUAGAAAAAGCUAAGAGGGAAGAACUAGAAGCUGCAGCUAGGCGCGGAUUAAUCCACGAAUGGAAAAGAAGAGAAAAAAAAUCUAAAUAAACUAUAAGCUUUAACAUAUCUCUGCCUCCCUCCAGCCAGAGAUACUAUUAAAUGAAGGGAAAAACUGGUUUGAACCUCACCGAUGUAAUCCUUUGCUUGGAACAGAUUUUUAUUCGCACUUUCCUUCUGAUGCAGGCGAAAGUUGUAAAUUGGAAUCUUUGCGCUGCCGCCUCUGGGCCCAGUUUAAAGAAAACAAAACCUCUCUCUCUCUCUCUCUCUCUCUCUCUCUCUCUCUCUCUCUCUCUCUUGGUUGUCAGCCUCUCGCUUUAAUCUCGGAAUGGUUUGACACAGAUUGAGCAACAGAUUGAGAUGACAGAAUACUUAACUAAAGGGAACGAAAAGGAAAUCUGAAAUGUGUUAAUUGAUUCCCUUUACAAGAAUAUAUAUAUAUUUUUAAAUCUGAAUAGAUGUAUGUUUGUAUUUUUUCGUUCUCUCUAAUCAGAAACUAAUUUUAGACGCCUCGAUUAAUAGCAGGUACCGGCUCCUAUCAGAGCAGCCCGGGAGAUUUGGAGUUUAUGAAGUGCAGACCAGUGAGCGUCUCUACUGCGAGAUAAUUCAUCUGAGAUAAUGAAAGAGGCUGUGGAGAUGCAUGCAAUCAUUCACUGUAAUCAUGGCUCGUUUAUUUGUCUCUUCUUUCCUCUGCAGACUCAGCUCGGAGUCACCGGUGUCACCAUGCCACGCGUGAGGGACGCGGUCCGAGGAAGGAGAGGACAAAACAAGGUUCAGUCCUGAACCGAGCAGGCUCUGCAGCGGGGAUGAGAGCGCGGGAAAAGCGUAUCCGUCUCCGGCGUCUGGCUGAUGGCUUCAUCAGGUAAGAGCAACAGGGAGCUGAAUGGUGAAUGAACUUGAAUGUCUAUGUAUGUGCGUGAGCAAGUGUGAGUGUAUUACAGCUCAGUGCUAAAAAUCUGAAUGGUUUUUAUUAAAACAGUAGACACCCGGACACCAAAGUCCUGUAUUGUCUUAAUAAAGGUGCUCAUGUUUUAUCUCUCUAUCUUUGCAUUAGUGAGGUGCAGGCUCAGCACCUUGAACGAUGCGACGUAGUGAAUCUACGUUAGCUACUUUAGAAAAGGAAAAUGGCCUCACUGACAACCACAGUCCUUGCUGUAAACUCAUUUCUUUUAUGUAACAUAAAACCACAAAGUACUCAGAAAAAACCCACACAGGCACACAGAGACCCACUCACACUCAGCUUUGAAAUAAAAGUAAAUCAGCUGAGCAGAGUGACGGCCACGCCUCUCUGUCAGGAGCUUAGCCCCUGCAUUUGCCUUCACCUUAAAGUUUAAGGUAAAUUUAUGUACCUUUAGCUUUCAGAAGUGAUUUUCUGCCUUUUAAAUGAUCUGUUAAAAAAAUACGCCCCACAGAAAUGAUUUCAAGGACCAUUUCUCUACAGGGUGCUAUUCCGAGAGCUGGAACUUUACAAACUGAAAUGACAACAUGUGAGAAGUCAAGCUGUAGAGUUUGCAAAGUAUAUACUGUAAAUGAGCUUAAUAUUCUAUUAUAUACUUUUAAUAAUCAAAACCGCUCACCUGCAUGUUUGACACCUAGAAUGUAUGAUCAGGUUUGGAAAUAAAAAGGUACACAUGAAGACCAGAAGGACAUUGUAAAUGAUUCCUUUUGCAAGAAGCUGGUAUGUCUAGAUUGGUACCUUAUAAGUGGUGACAUCACAACGGUGUACCAGACAGUGUGUGGCGUGUCUGUCAAUGUGAGUGAAGGUCACCAGACACACAGGGUGCCGUGCAGACUCAUAAGACCACACCGCCAGCUUUUGAAGAAUUAAAUGGGGUCACACAUUUGGUUUGCAUUAGGCUGAGUGGUCAAAUACUACAAUCGAUCACUAUUAUGUGCACAUUUAUGUCAGUGAUCCAAGAUAGAAACUAACAGGUACAUCAUAGCACCUAUAUGUGAUAUCAUCUAAGUUUUAAAAGUUUAUUUUCAGACAUUUUAUAAAGAAAUUGAACCCUCUACAUGGUUCCAUGUAGACACAUUUACCAGUUUCUAAAAUUACUUCAAUCUAAGAUCAGAUUUACAAUAUAAAACAAGUUGCAAACCGUAGUUGAUCAGUAAGCAAACAUAAACGCAAAAUGUAAAUAACAGUGAAAAACAAAAUCCACAACAUGACUUGGUAGCCUUCAGCAGCAGUAACUUGGCAAAGUCAACUUUAACUUUUACAUUAAUAUUUGCUCAUUUUUUUAUGUAAGACAUUGUUUCAUUGGUUGCAAGAACCUGUUCUGGCCCAGCUUUAGCUUCACUAAUGAUGACCUCACAAACCUCAUUACAAUACUAUAAUGAGGAGUUUAUGUUCUUCUCACUGAUAAUCAUGGGUUAGGGUUUAUCAGUUGGAGCAGUGUUUGGUUUUCUGCUUCAUGCAUAACGCCUGAUCACCUUGGUCAUGCCUGUCCAAAUGACGGUUUGGAUUCAUUCAGGCAAAAGUUUGCAAACCAAAGCAGACAGUCAUGUUCAUUUUAGAUAAAAACUUUAUCCUGGCAACCACAACAAUCAUCGAAGUUAUACUGGUGUUUUUCCAGUUGACCUUGGGGAAGACUUGGCAGAACAUCUACCCUUGAGAAAAUUGUCAAGCAUUUUGAAGAUUUUUUUCCAUACUGAAUGUGCUGUGAAUGACUUGGUAUCGUUUGGAAGUGACGUCAUCAUCCGAUUUCUUCAUCCUUAUACCCCAGUUGAUGGGGAGUUGAUUCUCUACGGUCAUUGCUGAUGUAUUUCCUUCCAGGCCUUUUAGAAAGAAAAGGCUUCCUCUAGAAGUUCAAAUGGUUGCAUGUAUAAACCUUUCCUGGGUUCUAAAACAAUUUAAUCUUAGAUACAAAACAGGGGAGGCCAAACCUAGUCCUCAAGACAUGCCACUCUGAAACUUUUAGGUGAAUUCCUGCUCCACCUCAAUCAAAUGAAUGGCUCAACGCCAGGCUGAUGAGGGGAUUCAGUCAUUUGAUUCCGGUCAUUUAAAAGUAGCAGGAUUGUAUCAUUCGAUGACUGGACAAGGCCUGACUUACAACCUUACACAAGAAAUUCCAGACUGUUAUUGAACAUUAAACAGAUAUGAAGGCAAAAUGGAAAUAUGUGACAGCUGAUGUUUUUUUUUCUUUCCGGACAUCGUAUUGAUCAGUAUAUGUAUGUUCUAGAGCAAUAAACUGUUCAUAGUACCAUUUUGAAGGCUCUGACACUCGCUGAUAUUCUAUUCAAGUGCAUUUCAUGAGCA